rnacentral:rRNA from 1 species
AACGAACGCUGGCGGCGUGCCUAACACAUGCAAGUCGAACGGAUUCAUAUUGAAGUAGCAAUACGGAGAUAUGAGUUAGUGGCGGACGGGUGAGUAACACGUGGGCAACCUGCCUCAUAGAGGGGAAUAGCCUUCCGAAAGGAAGAUUAAUACCGCAUAAGAUUGUAGCUUCGCAUGAAGUAGCAAUUAAAGGAGCAAUCCGCUAUGAGAUGGGCCCGCGGCGCAUUAGCUAGUUGGUGAGGUAACGGCUCACCAAGGCGACGAUGCGUAGCCGACCUGAGAGGGUGAUCGGCCACAUUGGGACUGAGACACGGCCCAGACUCCUACGGGUGCUG